rnacentral:misc_RNA from 1 species
GAUGAAGAACGCAGCGAAAUGCGAUAAGUAAUGUGAAUUGCAGAAUUCAGUGAAUCAUCGAAUCUUUGAACGCACCUUGCGCUCCUUGGUAUUCCGAGGAGCAUGCCUGUUUGAGUGUCAUGAAAUUCUCAACCUUUUCAGCUUUCUUUGUUGAUCAGGCUUGGAUGUGGGAGUAUGCGGGCUUCUCAGAAGUCGGCUCUCCUGAAAUGCAUUAGCGGGACCUUUGUUGCCUGGCUUUGGUGUGAUAAUUAUCUACGCCAUUGUAGUCAAGCAGCUUAAAAUGAGGUUUCAGCUUCUAACCGUCUCCCCUGAGACAACUUUUUGACAAUUUGACCUCAAAUCAGGUAGGACUACCCGCUGACCUUAAGCAUAUCAAUAAGCGGAGGA